rnacentral:sRNA from 1 species
AAUCAUGUCUUGAUCCUAAUAACUACGGUCUCUGAAUUGCUGUAUAUUAUUAUUAUUACAGCAAGUACAAGUUAUACCGCAAGAUCAAAGUUCACGUUGAUGUGGAGAAAGUCAAGUCCUACUAGAUGUCUCUGAUAGGUGGUGGUGGAGAAAGUUCACGUUGAUCUAGAAA